rnacentral:lncRNA from 1 species
GGUUGAGGGAGCUCCUGGUGAAAUGUGCUGAGGCUUCUGCUGAGGUUUCUACCUCAGCUCCACGGCCUGGCCAGGUAGGAAUGCAAUUCACCUUCCUGUCAUGUUUCUGUCCUGGCACUCCAGACAUUCGGGUCAGACAGACCUCACUAUCUCCAAGCUGCAGUGAAUCUGAGAGCCAUGAAAGUUCAAUGGAUUGAAGAAAAUGUUCACGGAAGGAAGAUGAUUAAUUGAUCCAGAGGGCCUGUAGCAACUCUGUUUAACAUGCUAGAUGAGCCAGUCUUAUUCAGUGAUGACUAAGGAUCUAGAGAAAACUGGUGUCAGGUUGGUCUUCUUCUUCCCACCUAUUUUCAGUUGGCCUGCAGUUCCUAGGAUGUGUAUCCUGUAUGCUGGUCACCGGAAGAUAGGCAAAUUUUUGCUUUGUUGCUGGUUCUGGGACAACAGCCAUGAAUACAAAAGAUUAAAUGGAAGGCUCUGGAGCCCUGAGGAAUAGCAGUUACUAGACUGAAGGAACCUGAGUUUCUAGAUUGCGAUGUUGAGCAGAGUCCCUGCUAACCCAGGAAAACUCUGAUGUGAGAAAGAAGAAAACCCGGAUUGCACUAACUCACCGAGAUUUCGAAGUUUAGUUGUUCGGCGAUGAACUUGUCCUGAACAACAUAGAGGAACAGUGGGAAAUACAUGGAGUGUGCUUAUAAGAAGCUAUGGUAGGCAGGAUUUCAAGAUGUCCUUGUGAUCUCUGCCUCCUUGUGUUUCUCCCAUGACUAUGUCAUGUUCCACAGCAAAAGGGAUUUUGCAAUGUAUUAAGGGUACUGAACGGUUGACCUUAAGAUCGUGGGAUUAUCUGGGUGGGCCUAAUUUCAUCACAUGAGUCCUGUAAAAGAAGUGAAUUUUCUCUAUUUGGUAGCAGAAGAGGCAGUCAGAGACAUCUGAAGUGUGAGAGGGAUUCAGUGCUGAAAUGGAGAAGGUCACAUGGUAAGAACCUGAGAGUGGCUUCUGGUAGCUGAGAGUGAUCCUUGGCAAGAUAAUGGAACCUUAGUCCUAGAGCCUCAAGGAAAUUAAUUCUGCUGACAAUCUGAGGGAACUUUGAAGCAGAUCUUUUCCUAGUUGAGCCUCCAAGUAAGGAUUUAGCUAGCUAGCUGGUACUUUAAUUUGAGCCUUAUGAGUCUCUGAGCAGAGGACCCAGGGAAAUAAAGUCAGGCUCCUAAUGCAUGGUGAUGAUGACGUGAUAAGUGUGUUUUGUUAAGCUACUAAGUUUGUGGUAAUUUUUAAUGUAGCAAUAAAAAACUAAUGCAGAGAGUGAAAAGUGCUGUGUCUAAGAUAUGUGGCAAAAUCAGGGUUAGUCCAUGCUGGUGUCACCAUCCAAGGAAUUGGAUCUGGUGAGCAGAAUGUGGCAGCAGGAGGCAGUGUGAUGGUGACAGUCACAAGGAGAUGGGUUCUGGGGCUGCAGUUUGAGGGUUGAAGCAGCUGCUGUGGAUUUAAGGAUCUGAGAACUCAGGCACAGAAGAGGAGGUCUGGCAAAAUCUGGGCAGAUUUUGCCCAAGAAAUGGCCUGGGGUCAGAGAUUGAGUCUAAAUCUCAGUGUCAAGAACUGAAGUUCACUUAAUUCUUUUUUUUAAAGAAACUUCUCGUUUAAUAAACUAGGCUGCUGAUUUUGAGAUAUUUACUUAUGAUUUUUUCAUGGUUCUUCAGAAUUAUCUCAGAGGGGUCUGAGAGGCUGAGCAGACAUAGCCUUAGUGACCCAUUUCUGUUUUAGCCAGGGCAGCCCUGCAUGUAGGUAUUUAUAUUUAGGGUUCCAUAUGACACUGCUCUUGGAAAAAGACCUUCAUUACUAAGACUGUUAGAAAAUGCCUAAUUUAGGGAAAAGCCAAGUAUCUUUGGGAAAAUGUGGGGGCUUCUCCUACAUAAGGAAGCAAGGCUAACUCUAGACCCCACAAGAGAGGGCUUGGUUCUCAUUGGUUCAGGUUCUGGCUGGAAUGAGACUGAAGGAUAAAAUACCCUAGGCAAGGCUGGGCAAUCAAGGACUGGACAAGAUCUUGCUUGGCUUUAAAGGAUCCCCUACACAAUCCUCAGAGAUGGAAGCACAAUAGAUAAGGAUAUGUAAAAAUAUUAUGUACAAUACACAUUAUACAUAUAUAUAUACACAUAUAUGUAUAUGUAUAAAACAUGGAUUUCCUGACCUGCUCAUCUAAUCUGGCU